GACCCCUCCCCUCCCACGACCCCCCGAUGGUCGCGGUGCGUAAGUUAAUUAACGGGUGAGUGGGCCGUAAAAACGUGUUAUCCACCCGGGUCGGGCCAAGCACACAAUGAGAAUUAAGACUCGUGCCGGUAUCGGCCCUGCAACAGGUAACCGCCUGGUAAAAAUGGGCCCAUUCAACAAGAAGGGGCCAUGCCACGUCCAAAAAGAAUGGAAGAAAAGAGAUACGUGGUUCGUGCUCGGUGAAUGAGACGAGGACAGUCAGGACAGUGGCCAGUGGCAAAUCUAAUAAAGCAAGACAUCGCGUGGCCAAUCAGAUGUGGGCGCAUAACUCAAGGAUCACGCAAUUAUAAAGCUGUAAAGCAAUAACUUCACGCGGCUCCGCCCGCCCCCUCCCAGCCCCCCGUCACCCCUCCGCCCCGCUCUGCCCUGCCCGUCAAAGCUCCGGACUUUUGUUUCAUUUCCACAUCUGCGAAACCAGUUUCGUUUGACACGUUACGUUUGCUAAAUCAAACAUUCCUCCUCAGCUCUCAAUUCCUUCUCUUACUUAUUGAAAAAACGUCGUAUAUGAAUCUUCAGACGUUGCGAAAUGUAUAAGCCGAACCGAAGUGUAGUAAGAUUUAGGUUAAAUGAACCUAGCUGUAAAGACAAGUAGAAAACACGGCUGUCAGAACUGAAAGUAUGAACGUGUUGUUUGAAAGGAGAUGAAACUGAAUCUUCGAAAGUUAGGCUAUACCAAGAACAGGUAGUAUCAUCGAAAAGCAUUUAUUGCAUUUUACUUUUUCACGGUCUUGAAUAAUUUGGGAUGUUCAAAUAAUGAGGAACUUAACGUUGCAAACAUGAUAGUGCGAUUACUGCAGGAGGAUUCCCCAUUUCUUUUAUAUCUGUCGCAUUCGACGUCUGAACAAAUCAUGAAAAAUUAAUUAAUGAGCCCCGGCUGACGCGGCAAAUUAACCAUCACUGCUGUAAGCCCAUGUUGCGUCAUGGCUGAUUGAAGGGAGUUCAGAACCAUUGAACACAACCGAUUAAUCGUAUUACCAUCUUGUUUUUCUCUUAACGCCAUUGUAAAAAUAA
rnacentral:lncRNA from 1 species